GCCAGUGUGGAUCCAAUACUUGUUGUUCAGGUUACCACAUGAAAGAUGGAUUAUGUAGAGUUUGUGAAGAUGGUACAUAUGGAAUGAACUGUAGCGAA